rnacentral:rRNA from 1 species
CGAACGCUGGCGGCAGGCCUAAUACAUGCAAGUCGAACGGCUCUUCGGAGCAGUGGCGGACGGGUGAGUAACGCGUGGGAAUGUGCCCUUUGGUACGGAACAACACAGGGAAACUUGUGCUAAUACCGUAUGUGCCCUUCGGGGGAAAGAUUUAUCGCCCUUGGAGCAGCCCGCGUUGGACUAGGUAGUUGGUGAGGUAAAGGCUCACCAAGCCUACGAUCCAUAGCUGGUCUGAGAGGAUGACCAGCCACACUGAGACUGGGACACGGCCCAGACUCCUACGGGAGGCAGCAGUAGGGAAUCUUGCGCAAUGGGCGAAAGCCUGACGCAGCCAUGCCGCGUGUAUGAUGAAGAUCUUAGGAUUGUAAAAUACUUUCACCGGGGAAGAUAAUGACGGUACCCGGAGAAGAAGCCCCGGCUAACUACGUGCCAGCCGCCGCCGUAAGAC